UAUGCAAAUUCUCUCCACCCUCUUUCCUUCCUUCCUCUCUUCUUUUAUUUGAAAAUAUUUAGAUAGCAUCAUCAAGGAGGCUCUGAGGCUUUCCAGUGCAUCCUUGAAUAUCCGGACUGCUAAGGAGGAUUUCACUCUACAUCUUGAGGAUGGUUCCUAUAACAUCCGAAAAGACGACAUCAUAGCUCUUUAUCCACAGUUAAUGCAUUUGGAUCCUGAAAUCUACCCAGACCCUCUGACUUUUAAAUAUGAUCGGUACCUUGAUGAGAAGAGGAAGACAAAGACCUCCUUCUACAUCAAUGGGAACAAACUGAAGUAUUUCUAUAUGCCAUUUGGAUCAGGAGCUACAAUAUGUCCAGGAAGACUAUUUGCUGUCCAAGAAAUCAAGCAAUUUUUGAUUCUGAUGCUUUCAUACUUUGAACUGGAACUUGUGGAGAGCCAAGUCAAGUGUCCCCCUCUAGACCAGUCCAGAGCAGGCUUGGGAAUUUUGCCACCAUUAAAUGAUAUUGAGUUUAAAUAUAAACUGAAACAUCUGUGACAUGCAGUUGGAAGAAGAGGGCACUGGUUGAUGUUGCUGGACUCCAGAGAGCCAUCACUGAACAGGCCCUUGGGACAAGUCCUCAUGGAUGCUUCCCAGUGACUGACUGUGCCCAUGAAAAGAACUGUUCCCAGGGUACCACUUUCUGCUCUCACUGCUUGAGUUCCUGGGUGCUCAGAUCACUGAGGUCUGAGUUUCACCACUCUCAGAAAGCAAUGUCUUAUGUUUUUAUUUUCAAAAUGAAGAUAUUCCAAUUGGCAGGAUUUUUUUCCUAGGGAAAUUGCUUUAUACUUUUAUGAAAACUACUGAUUAAUUAUGAAAAGGCUUCAAAUUCACGUUUUAGUGAUAAUACUUUUUUCACUAGUUAAGUUCUUCAUGUGUGAGCAUAUAUUAUAAAAACAUUUUAAAGGGUCAUAUCAUGCUUUACAUCAAGGAAAAGGAAAAUAUUAUUCAACUUUAUAUAUGUCUAGUGCUGAGAGCUUUGAAAAUGAUGGUACUCUUCUGGAAAUACUACACAAAGUAUUGACACUUUCCUGUUAUAUUUUAAUUUAUUGUUACUGGAAAUUCUCAUUCCAGUUUUCAUCUACCUUAUCUCUGUUCUUUUUUGACAUUCACAUCAAUGAGAAGAGUGCUUUUCAGAGACUGAAAAGCACCUCCCCAGAACCCCACUUCUGACAUCUUCAAGGCUUUAAUCCCAGCACUUACACUUGGGAGGCAGAGGCAGGCAGAUCUCUGUGAGUUUGAGGCCAGUCUGGUCUACAGAGCGACAUCCAGGCAAGGCAGGGCUACAGAAUGAGACCUUGUCUCAAAAAAAGGUCAAUUUUUAUGUCAUAAUUGAUUAUGAAUCAAUGCAAAAAAAGAAAUUUAAAAACCGAACUCUUAAGGAAAUGACCAUUUAAAAUGGUCUAUUUUAACUAUUUAGCUAAAAUUAACUACGAAGUAUGUGGAGUUUACUAAGUGCAAGUUGACAUUAUAUGUUCUUUUAAAAUGUCUUGUGUUUAUCUCUAAAUGCCUUGUAGAUGAAGAAUAAUAAUAGUGUUUAAAUACUGACUACAAUAAUACUUUGGUAAUGUACUUUAAGAGAGUUACCAGCUGUGCCAUUUUUACUGAAAUACAUACAUAUAUUUAUAUGUAAAUUAUAUUUAUCUUUUUUCUUGUAAUAUGAAUAUAUGACAAUAUUGUAACAUCUAGUAAUUUUAAAACUACCUACCUUUUGGAAAUGAACAUAUCAAUGUUUGUGUUUUAAACUUUGAAAUAGAAUGUUUAAAUUAUUCAUCUACUGAUAAGUUAAAAUACUUUCAUCUGAUUUAUCUAAAAUAUUCAUAAUUUUAAGAAACCCAAAAAUAUUUAAAGUAAUCAUUCACUCAAAAGUGUCCCUACAGAAAAUUCAAUAAAAUAUUUUUGUGUGGAGGGACGGAACCAGGGCCAGGGUCUAAUGGGUGCUCCCGCAGUGAGCUGUAUCUAUGACUCCUUAAACUUCUAAAAUCUCACCACUAAGUUUUACCAUGGAGUUACUACCUAAAUAGGAUAUUUUUCUUUCCUUUCUCGUUUGACAGAGUCCCACAGCAAUGCAGCUGGCCGGAACUCUCCACAAAGCUUGGGCAGGCUUCAGAUUCACUCUACUCCUGCCUUUCCCUUUCUAGGAAGUUACUUUCCCCACAAAGAAAAUAAAUUGUUCAUAUAGGGCAGAAGAGUAAGAAAAUUCUGCUAGAUUCUAAUAUGUAUUAAACUGAAUUUCCAAUGUGUCUUUUUAAACAAGUUUUAUGACUCUCUGAAUUGAAUGCAUCUACACAACUUCCCACGGAUUUCUAAAAGCAUAUUUUUUUCAUACACAAAAUGAUGGGUGUCACAAUGAUGCCUUGUUUUCACGUCUUUAUUCUUGUGCAAUGAUAGUUGGAAGUUAGUAGCCCAUAGACCAAAGUUCCUGUUUUUGUGCAGCUUAAGUGUUAAGAAUGGUUUUUACAUUUUAAAUGCUUAGAACAGAAUGCAAAAGAUUAUUUUGUGUCAUAUGUGAAGUAUAUGAAAUGCACACUGGCACAUCCAUGAAUAAAUUUUUAUUGGAAUACCAUA